CCUACGAGGGGCAGCAGUGGGGAAUAUUGCACAAUGGGGGGAACCCUGAUGUAGCGACGCCGCGUGAGUGAAGAAGUAUUUCGGUAUGUAAAGCUCUAUCAGCAGGGAAGAAAAUGACGGUACCUGACUAAGAAGCCCCGGCUAACUACGUGCCAGCAGCCGCGGUAAUACGUAGGGGGCAAGCGUUAUCCGGAUUUACUGGGUGUAAAGGGAGCGCAGACGGCUGUGCAAGUCUGGAGUGAAAGGCGGGGGCCCAACCCCCGGACUGCUCUGGAAACUGUAAAGCUGGAGUGUAGGAGAGGUAAGCGGAAUUCCUAGUGUAGCGGUGAAAUGCGUAGAUAUUAGGAGGAACACCAGUGGCGAAGGCGGCUUACUGGACUGCAACUGACGUUGAGGCUCGAAAGCGUGGGGAGCAAACAGGAUUAGAUACCCCUGUAGUC
rnacentral:rRNA from 1 species